rnacentral:rRNA from 1 species
CCUACGGGAGGCUGCAGUGGGGAAUCUUGGACAAUGGGCGCAAGCCUGAUCCAGCCAUGCCGCGUGAGUGAUGAAGGCCCUAGGGUCGUAAAGCUCUUUCGCCAGGGAUGAUAAUGACAGUACCUGGUAAAGAAACCCCGGCUAACUCCGUGCCAGCAGCCGCGGUAAUACGGAGGGGGUUAGCGUUGUUCGGAAUUACUGGGCGUAAAGCGCGCGUAGGCGGAUUGGAAAGUUGGGGGUGAAAUCCCGGGGCUCAACCCCGGAACUGCCUCCAAAACUCCCAGUCUUGAGUUCGAGAGAGGUGAGUGGAACUCCGAGUGUAGAGGUGAAAUUCGUAGAUAUUCGGAAGAACACCAGUGGCGAAGGCGGCUCACUGGCUCGAUACUGACGCUGAGGUGCGAAAGUGUGGGGAGCAAACAGGAUUAGAUACCCUGGUAGUC